CAAGUGGGCCAGUUUUAUUAAACAGGUUGAACGAUCAGUUUCUCUUAAACGUCGAGUGAGUUAGUUCUAUUAAAUGGGUCAAAAGGGAAAGUUUUCCUACACAGGCCAACUGGAUCAGUUUCAAUGACCUGGCUUAAAUUUAUUUAUAUCAAAAUCAACAUACACUCGAGGAGCCUUAAUUCUGAGCUUUUCGUAGGAUGUUAUCUAAAUUAAUCGGUCCCGGUGCAACCAAUUUAUGCAUCAAAGGUGUCGCGUGUGGCCGAGGAGCUGUUGUAACUGAUCUAUCUUCUCAUUGGCUGUUGUAUGUUCAACCAUGUAUUUUCCAACCACUAUAGCAGCCCUAUGAGCAACAAGUUUCCUCAUAGAUCAAGUGAUUCCUUCAAGCAAUUUGUAUCGGUGAAGAACAUGUGAAGCAGCAACUUUAAACUUCAUUGAAGAAUGAGGCAUAUGAUUGAACACUUUAUGCUUAAAAUGCCUUCUCCAUGACCUCUUUCAUUCAACUACACUUCAAAUUGUCAUGGAGUAGUCAUAGUUUGCAUCACCUCAGCUACAUAUUAGACGUCUUUCUCCAAUGCUAGACUUUUCAUAGCUUAUGUUAGCGGAUUAUGGCGUCGAUAGACCGACCAUGGGAGAUGUAUUGUGGAACAUGGAACAUGCACUUUAGCUUCAAGAAGUCGAAAGUGCAAAUGCAACUAGCAUCUGUCAAACCAGCGAACGAGACAUUACAGCGAGUGUUGGCUCUAGCAAUAUAUGCUGAUGAUUGACUUGCUUUCGGGCACGAGAACAAGCCAAGUUUUUUCACAGUUGGUAGCCAACGAUUAUAGGUAACAAGUUGUCGAUUUCAAUUAGCCAUUUACUAUUAUUUGUUUAUACUUUGCAUAAAUAAUGUAGUUUUGAUAAUCUUUGUAAAACAAAGAAAGGGUCUAUGCCAUCAUCAAGGAUAAGACUUCAACUACUGGUCUGGUCAUUCAAGGAAGUUGGAAUGAUGCUCUAAUGUCACGUUUAUAAUAUUUGUAUUUUUUUUGGUAG
rnacentral:lncRNA from 1 species